CCCUUAGAUUUUCUGGGCCGCACGCGUGCUACACUGAGUGGAUCAGCGGGUCAGGUUGCGCGAAAGUGUUUCCUAAUCUUGAAAUCCGCUCGUGAUGGGGAUUGACGGUUGCAAUUUUCCGUCAUGAACGAGGAAUACCUUGUAAGCGCGGGUCAUCAUCCCGCGCUGAAUACGUCCCUGCCCUUUGUACACACCGCCCGUCGCUCCUACCGAUUGAGUGGUCCGGUGAGGCUUUGGGAUCUGAGCGGAAAGAGCGUUUCGCUGUUUCUGCUCGGAAAACUCAGUCGAACCUUAUCAUUUAGAGGAAGGAGAAGUCGUAACA
rnacentral:rRNA from 1 species